rnacentral:rRNA from 1 species
AUGAACGCUGGCGGCGUGCCUAAUACAUGCAAGUCGAACGCACAGCGAAAGGUGCUUGCACCUUCCAAGUGAGUGGCGAACGGGUGAGUAACACGUGGAUAACCUACCUUAAGGUUGGGGAUAACAUUUGGAAACAGAUGCUAAUACCGAAUAAAACUUCGUAUCGCAUGAUACAAGGUUAAAAGGCGCUACGGCGUCACCUAGAGAUGGAUCCGCGGUGCAUUAGUUAGUUGGUGGGGUAAAGGCCUACCAAGACAAUGAUGCAUAGCCGAGUUGAGAGACUGAUCGGCCACAUUGGGACUGAGACACGGCCCAAACUCCUACGGGAGGCUGCAGUAGGGAAUCUUCCACAAUGGGCGAAAGCCUGAUGGAGCAACGCCGCGUGUGUGAUGAAGGCUUUCGGGUCGUAAAGCACUGUUGUAUGGGAAGAACAGCUAGAGUAGGGAAUGACUUUAGUUUGACGGUACCAUACCAGAAAGGGACGGCUAAAUACGUGCCAGCAGCCGCGGUAAUACGUAUGUCCCGAGCGUUAUCCGGAUUUAUUGGGCGUAAAGCGAGCGCAGACGGUUGAUUAAGUCUGAUGUGAAAGCCCGGAGCUCAACUCCGGAAAGGCAUUGGAAACUGGUCAACUUGAGUGCAGUAGAGGUAAGUGGAACUCCAUGUGUAGCGGUGGAAUGCGUAGAUAUAUGGAAGAACACCAGCGGCGAAGGCGGCUUACUGGACUGUAACUGACGUUGAGGCUCGAAAGUGUGGGUAGCAAACAGGAUUAGAUACCCUGGUAGUCCACACCGUAAACGAUGAACACUAGGUGUUGGGAGGAUUCCCGCCUCUAAAGUGACGAAGCUAAAGCAUUAAGUGUUCCGGCCUGGGGAGUACGACCGCAAGAUUGAAACUCAAAAGAAUUGACGGGGACCCGCACAAGCGGUGAAGCAAGUGGUUUAAUUGGAAGCAACGCGAAGAACCUUACCAGAUCUCGACAUCCUUAGAAGCUUUUAGAGAUAGAAGUGUUCUCUUCGGAGACAAAGUGACAGGUGGUGCAUGGUCGUCGUCAGCUCGUGUCGUGAGAUGAUGGGUUAAGUCCCGCAACGAGCGCAACCCUUAUUGUUAGUUGCCAGCAUUCAGAUGGGCACUCUAGCGAGACUGCCGGUGACAAACCGGAGGAAGGCGGGGACGACGUCAGAUCAUCAUGCCCCUUAUGACCUGGGCUACACACGUGCUACAAUGGCGUAUACAACGAGUUGCCAACCUGUGAAGGUGAGCUAAUCUCUUAAAGUACGUCUCAGUUCGGACUGCAGUCUGCAACUCGACUGCACGAAGUCGGAAUCGCUAGUAAUUGCGGAUCAGCACGCCGCGGUGAAUAAAUUCCCGGGUCUUGUACA